UGGGGUGUGGCUCAAGUGGUAGCACUUGCCUGGCAUGUGUGAGGCACUGAGUUCGAUCCUCAGCACCACAU
rnacentral:tRNA from 1 species